rnacentral:rRNA from 1 species
GAAAAAGAACCUGAAACCGUGUACGUACAAGCAGUGGGAGCACCCUUUGGGUGUGACUGCGUACCUUUUGUAUAAUGGGUCAGCGACUUAUAUUCUGUAGCAAGGUUAACCGAAUAGGGGAGCCGGAGGGAAACCGAGUCUUAACCGGGCGUUAAGUUGCAGGGUAUAGACCCGAAACCCGGUGAUCUAGCCAUGGGCAGGUUGAAGGUUGGGUAACACUAACUGGAGGACCGAACCGACUAAUGUUGAAAAAUUAGCGGAUGACCUGUGGCUGGGGGUGAAAGGCCAAUCAAACCGGGAGAUAGCUGGUUCUCCCCGAAAGCUAUUUAGGUAGCGCCUCGUGAAUUCAUCUCCGGGGGUAGAGCACUGUUUCGGCUAGGGGGCCAUCCCGGCUUACCAACCCGAUGCAAACUGCGAAUACCGGAGAAUGUUAUCACGGGAGACACACGGCGGGUGCUAACGUCCGUCGUGAAGAGGGAAACAACCCAGACCGCCAGCUAAGGUCCCAAAGUCAUGGUUAAGUGGGAAACGAUGUGGGAAGGCCCAGACAGCCAGGAUGUUGGCUUAGAAGCAGCCAUCAUUUAAAGAAAGCGUAAUAGCUCACUGGUCGAGUCGGCCUGCGCGGAAGAUGUAACGGGGCUAAACCAUGCACCGAAGCUGCGGCAGCGACACUGUGUGUUGUUGGGUAGGGGAGCGUUCUGUAAGCCUGUGAAGGUGUGUCGUGAGGCAUGCUGGAGGUAUCAGAAGUGCGAAUGCUGACAUAAGUAACGAUAAAGCGGGUGAAAAGCCCGCUCGCCGGAAGACCAAGGGUUCCUGUCCAACGUUAAUCGGGGCAGGGUGAGUCGACCCCUAAGGCGAGGCCGAAAGGCGUAGUCGAUGGGAAACGGGUUAAUAUUCCCGUACUUGGUGUUACUGCGAAGGGGGGACGGAGAAGGCUAUGUUGGCCGGGCGACGGUUGUCCCGGUUUAAGCGUGUAGGUGUGUGUUCCAGGUAAAUCCGGUUCACUUUAACACUGAGGCGUGACGACGAGGCACUACGGUGCUGAAGCAACAAAUGCCCUGCUUCCAGGAAAAGCCUCUAAGCAUCAGGUAACAUCAAAUCGUACCCCAAACCGACACAGGUGGUCAGGUAGAGAAUACCAAGGCGCUUGAGAGAACUCGGGUGAAGGAACUAGGCAAAAUGGUGCCGUAACUUCGGGAGAAGGCACGCUGACACGUAGGUGAAGUGAUUUACUCAUGGAGCUGAAGUCAGUCGAAGAUACCAGCUGGCUGCAACUGUUUAUUAAAAACACAGCACUGUGCAAACACGAAAGUGGACGUAUACGGUGUGACGCCUGCCCGGUGCCGGAAGGUUAAUUGAUGGGGUCAGCGCAAGCGAAGCUCCUGAUCGAAGCCCCGGUAAACGGCGGCCGUAACUAUAACGGUCCUAAGGUAGCGAAAUUCCUUGUCGGGUAAGUUCCGACCUGCACGAAUGGCGUAAUGAUGGCCAGGCUGUCUCCACCCGAGACUCAGUGAAAUUGAACUCGCUGUGAAGAUGCAGUGUACCCGCGGCAAGACGGAAAGACCCCGUGAACCUUUACUAUAGCUUGACACUGAACAUUGAGCCUUGAUGUGUAGGAUAGGUGGGAGGCUUUGAAGUGUGGACGCCAGUCUGCAUGGAGCCGACCUUGAAAUACCACCCUUUAAUGUUUGAUGUUCUAACGUGGACCCGUUACCCGGGUUGCGGACAGUGUCUGGUGGGUAGUUUGACUGGGGCGGUCUCCUCCUAAAGAGUAACGGAGGAGCACGAAGGUUGGCUAAUCCUGGUCGGACAUCAGGAGGUUAGUGCAAUGGCAUAAGCCAGCUUGACUGCGAGCGUGACGGCGCGAGCAGGUGCGAAAGCAGGUCAUAGUGAUCCGGUGGUUCUGAAUGGAAGGGCCAUCGCUCAACGGAUAAAAGGUACUCCGGGGAUAACAGGCUGAUACCGCCCAAGAGUUCAUAUCGACGGCGGUGUUUGGCACCUCGAUGUCGGCUCAUCACAUCCUGGGGCUGAAGUAGGUCCCAAGGGUAUGGCUGUUCGCCAUUUAAAGUGGUACGCGAGCUGGGUUUAGAACGUCGUGAGACAGUUCGGUCCCUAUCUGCCGUGGGCGCUGGAGAACUGAGGGGGGCUGCUCCUAGUACGAGAGGACCGGAGUGGACGCAUCACUGGUGUUCGGGUUGUCAUGCCAAUGGCACUGCCCGGUAGCUAAAUGCGGAAGAGAUAAGUGCUGAAAGCAUCUAAGCACGAAACUUGCCCCGA